AUUGAACGCUGGCGGAAUGCUUUACACAUGCAAGUCGAGCGGCAGCGCGGGGCAACCUGGCGGCGAGCGGCGAACGGGUGAGUAAUGUAUCGGAACGUGUCCUGUCGUGGGGGAUGGCCCGGUGAAAACCGGAUUAAUACCGCAUACGAUCGAGAGACGAAAGUGGGGGACCGCAAGGCCUCACGCGAUAGGAGCGGCCGAUAUCUGAUUAGCUAGUUGGUGGGGUAAAGGCCCACCAAGGCUUCGAUCAGUAGCUGGUCUGAGAGGAUGAUCAGCCACACUGGGACUGAGACACGGCCCAGACUCCUACGGGAGGCAGCAGUGGGGAAUUUUGGACAAUGGGGGCAACCCUGAUCCAGCCAUUCCGCGUGAGUGAAGAAGGCCUUCGGGUUGUAAAGCUCUUUUGUCCGGGAAGAAACGGUUUUGGCUAAUAACCAAGACUACUGACGGUACCGGAAGAAUAAGGACCGGCUAACUACGUGCCAGCAGCCGCCGUAA
rnacentral:rRNA from 1 species